rnacentral:rRNA from 1 species
UACGAAGGGUGCAAACGUUGCUCGGAAUCAUUGGGCGUAAAGCGCACGUAGGCGGCUUCACAAGUCGGAUGUGAAAUCCCGUGGCUCAACCAUGGACGUGCAUUCGAAACUGCGAAGCUUGAGUAUGGAAGAGGGUCGCGGAAUUCCCGGUGUAGAGGUGAAAUUCGUAGAUAUCGGGAGGAACACCAGUGGCGAAGGCGGCGACCUGGGCCAAUACUGACGCUGAGGAGCGAAAGCGUGGGGAGCGAACAGG